rnacentral:rRNA from 1 species
GAUGAACGCUGGCGGCGUGCCUAAUACAUGCAAGUCGAGCGAACAGACGAGGAGCUUGCUCCUCUGACGUUAGCGGCGGACGGGUGAGUAACACGUGGAUAACCUACCUAUAAGACUGGGAUAACUUCGGGAAACCGGAGCUAAUACCGGAUAACAUGUUGAACCGCAUGGUUCAACAGUGAAAGACGGUCUUGCUGUCACUUAUAGAUGGAUCCGCGCCGCAUUAGCUAGUUGGUAAGGUAACGGCUUACCAAGGCAACGAUGCGUAGCCGACCUGAGAGGGUGAUCGGCCACACUGGAACUGAGACACGGUCCAGACUCCGACGGGAGGCAGCAGUAGGGAAGCUUCCGCAAUGGGCGAAAGCCUGACGGAGCAACGCCGCGUGAGUGAAGAAGGUCUUCGGAUCGUAAAACUCUGUUAUUAGGGAAGAACAAAUGUGUAAGUAACUAUGCACGUCUUGACGGUACCUAAUCAGAAAGCCACGGCUAACUACGUGCCAGCAGCCGCCGUAA